AGGCACCACAGGGGUUUGUCAUUCUUCUCUUUUUGAGGUUUUCCAGUUACUUAAGACUUUCUAGUUCCAGGAAGUCAUCUGGAGGUGUAUGUGCAGGUCACAGAGGUUACCAUGCAGUUCCUGGCACAGUCAGCCAGCCGAAAAGACCUUAUGGGAGGAACUCAUAUGUAUUUAUCAAAAUAUAAGUGCUUCUUGGUGGAAAUUUCUAAAUCCUCAGACUAUUCUCUUUCAGCUUCUGGUCAGCUUAUUUAUCCUACAUACCCUAGUGACUUUAAGGAAAUAACUUCUCUGGGCAUGAUUUUCCUCAUCUGUAAAACAGGAAGAAUAACACCAAAUUCUGUUUAUACUAUGGAUCACUAUUAUAGCCAGCAAAAGGAUUAGCACAUGGCAGAUUUUCAAUAAAGAGUAGCUAUUCUCAUUCACCUGGAGAAAUUGUCUCCUAUGCAAACUUUGGAAAAAGUGUGUUUUGGCAACUUUUAGGAAAAAUUUUGAUUUUUAAAGUAUAAAAUGGAUAUUCUUUAUACCACACAUAACUCAGUCAUUCAGCAGCAGGUGUUCAGUAUUUGGUAUUUGCCAAACACUAUGACUUAUCCCCUCAAAAGAUCCUUCUGGAAUCCUUUUUCAACUCUGUUAUCUUCAUAUAUACAAAACAAUAGUUCAGAUACAUUGAUCAAAUGGCUUGCCCUCUGUUUGCCGUGAGAAGGCUGGAUGUCUGUCUAUAAAUAACAAAGCUAGUCUGCAAUGAGAAACAGCAUUUGAAUUUUGGUACCCUCCUGUAGAACAGUUUAUAAGUGACCCCAGUUCACAUUU